UACACACGGUGCAAGCGUUAAUCGGAUUUACUGGGCGUAAAGCGCGCGUAGGUGGCCAAUUAAGUCAAAUGUGAAAUCCCCGAGCUUAACUUGGGAAUUGCAUUCGAUACUGGUUGGCUAGAGUAUGGGAGAGGAUGGUAGAAUUCCAGGUGUAGCGGUGAAAUGCGUAGAGAUCUGGAGGAAUACCGAUGGCGAAGGCAGCCAUCUGGCCUAAUACUGACACUGAGGUGCGAAAGCAUGGGGAGCAAACAGGAUUAGAUACCCUGGUAGUCCAUGCCGUAAACGAUGUCUACUAGCCGUUGGGGCCUUUGAGGCUUUAGUGGCGCAGCUAACGCGAUAAGUAGACCGCCUGGGGAGUACGGUCGCAAGACUAAAACUCAAAUGAAUUGACGGGGGCCCGCACAAGCGGUGGAGCAUGUGGUUUAAUUCGAUGCAACGCGAAGAACCUUACCUGGUCUUGACAUAGUAAGAACUUUCCAGAGAUGGAUUGGUGCCUUCGGGAACUUACAUACAGGUGCUGCAUGGCUGUCGUCAGCUCGUGUCGUGGGAUGUUGGGUUAAGUCCCGCAACGAGCGCAACCCUUUUCCUUAUUUGCCAGCGGGUUAAGCCGGGGAACUUUAAGGAUACUGCCAGUGACAAACUGGAGGAGGGCGGGGGACGACGUCAAGUCAUCAUGGGCCCUUACGACCAGGGCUACACACGUGCUACUAUGGUCGGUACAAAGGGUUGCUACCUAGCGAUAGGGUGCUAUUCUCAAAAAGCCGAUCGUAGUCCGGAUUGGAGUCUGCACCUCUACUCCAUGAAUUCGGAAUCGCUAGUAAUCGCGGAUCAGAAUGCCGCGGUGAAUGCGUUCCCGGGCCUUGUACACACCGCCCGUCACACCAUGGGAGUUUGUUGCACCAGAAGUAGGUAGUCUAACCGCAAGGAGGACGCUUACCACGGUGUGGCAGAUGACUGGGGUGAAGUCGUAACAAGGUAACCGAAUCCCUCACCC
rnacentral:rRNA from 1 species